GGCAGGCCUAACACAUGCAAGUCGAGCGGAUGAAGAGAGCUUGCUCUCUGAUUCAGCGGCGGACGGGUGAGUAAUGCCUAGGAAUCUGCCUGGUAGUGGGGGACAACGUCUCGAAAGGGACGCUAAUACCGCAUACGUCCUACGGGAGAAAGCAGGGGACCUUCGGGCCUUGCGCUAUCAGAUGAGCCUAGGUCGGAUUAGCUAGUUGGUGAGGUAAUGGCUCACCAAGGCGACGAUCCGUAACUGGUCUGAGAGGAUGAUCAGUCACACUGGAACUGAGACACGGUCCAGACWCCUACGGGAGGCAGCAGUGGGGAAUAUUGGACAAUGGGCGAAAGCCWGAUCCAGCCAUGCCGCGUGUGUGAAGAAGGCCUUCGGAUUGUAAAGCACCUUCAAGUUGGGAGGAAGGGUUGUAGAUUAAUACUCUGCAAUCUUGACGUUACCGACAGAAUAAGCACCGGCUAACUCUGUGCC
rnacentral:rRNA from 1 species